UACGUAGGGGGCAAGCGUUGUCCGGAAUCAUUGGGCGUAAAGCGCGCGUAGGCGGCCCGGUAAGUCCGCUCUGAAAGUCCAGGGCUCAACCCUGGAAAGCGGGUGGAUACUGCCGGGCUAGAAUCCGGAAGAGGCGAGUGGAAUUCCCGGUGUAGCGGUGAAAUGCGCAGAUAUCGGGAAGAACACCCGUGGCGAAGGCGGUUCUCUGGGACGGUACUGACGCUGAGACGCGAAAGCGUGGGGAGCGAACAGG
rnacentral:rRNA from 1 species